UGAAGGACAAGUUGGUUUCUGGCCA
rnacentral:miRNA from 1 species